rnacentral:rRNA from 1 species
GAUGAACGCUGGCGGCGUGCCUAACACAUGCAAGUCGAGCGAAACGCUUACAUUCGGUUUGUACGGAAUUACGGAAUUUGUGAGUGAGCCGCGGGCGGCUUACUCAUGCGUGUGUAAUCUGCCUCGGACAGGGGGGUAACUACUAGAAAUGAGUGCUAGUACCACAUAAGACGCCGGCUUCUCAUGACGCGGGGGGAAAGACUCCGGUGGUAUGAGAUGGAGCCGAGGCUGGUUGGCUAGUUGGGAAGGUACCGGAGUCCCAAGGCGACGAGCAGUAGCCGAAGGGAGAGGGUGACCGUUCACAUUGGGACUCAGACAAGGCUCAGACGCCUACGGGAGGCAGCAGAUGGUAAUAUAGCACAAUGGGGGAAAUGCUGAUGCAGCGAGGCCGCGUGGAGGGUGAAGUAGUUGGGUACGGAAACCGCUAACAGCAGGGAAGAGAGUGACGGUAGCUGAUAAAGAAGCACCGGCUAACUACGUG